CCUACGGGGAGCAGCAGUGGGGAAUAUUGGUCAAUGGACGAGAGUCUGAACCAGCCAAGUAGCGUGAAGGAUGACUGCCCUAUGGGUUGUAAACUUCUUUUAUAUGGGAAUAAAAUGUUCCACGUGUGGGAUUUUGUAUGUACCAUAUGAAUAAGGAUCGGCUAACUCCGUGCCAGCAGCCGCGGUAAUACGGAGGAUCCGAGCGUUAUCCGGAUUUAUUGGGUUUAAAGGGAGCGUAGGUGGAUUGUUAAGUCAGUUGUGAAAGUUUGCGGCUCAACCGUAAAAUUGCAGUUGAAACUGGCAGUCUUGAGUACAGUAGAGGUGGGCGGAAUUCGUGGUGUAGCGGUGAAAUGCUUAGAUAUCACGAAGAACUCCGAUUGCGAAGGCAGUUCACUGGACUGCAACUGACACUGAGGCUCGAAAGUGUGGGUAUCAAACAGGAUUAGAUACCCGAGUAGUC
rnacentral:rRNA from 1 species